rnacentral:rRNA from 1 species
CACGUAGGGCGCAAGCGUUGUCCGGAAUUAUUGGGCGUAAAGAGCUCGUAGGCGGUCUGUUACGUCUGCUGUGAAAACCCUGGGCUUAACCCUGGGCUUGCAGUGGAUACGGGCAGACUAGAGGCAGGUAGGGGAGAAUGGAAUUCCCGGUGUAGCGGUGAAAUGCGCAGAUAUCGGGAGGAACACCGGUGGCGAAGGCGGCGUCCUGGACCAACACUGACACUGAUGAGCGAAAGCCAGGGGAGCAAACGGG